rnacentral:rRNA from 1 species
UGGAUCCAGACUUUGAUUAUGGCUCAGGAUGAACGCUAGCUACAGGCUUAACACAUGCAAGUCGAGGGGAAACGACAUCGGAAGCUUGCUUCCGAUGGGCGUCGACCGGCGCACGGGUGAGUAACGCGUAUCCAACCUGCCCACCACUUGGGAAUAACCUUGCGAAAGUAAGACUAAUGCCCAAUGAUAUCUCUAGAAGACAUCUGAAAGAGAUUAAAGAUUUAUCGGUGAUGGAUAGGGAUGCGUCUGAUUAGCUUGUUGGCGGGGUAACGGCCCACCAAGGCGACGAUCAGUAGGGGUUCUGAGAGGAAGGUCCCCCACAUUGGAACUGAGACACGGUCCAAACUCCUACGGGAGGCAGCAGUGAGGAAUAUUGGUCAAUGGGCGAGAGCCUGAACCAGCCAAGUAGCGUGCAGGAUGACGGCCCUAUGGGUUGUAAACUGCUUUUAUAAGGGAAUAAAGUGGGGCUCGUGAGCUCCUUUGCAUGUACCUUAUGAAUAAGGACCGGCUAAUUCCGUGCCAGCAGCCGCGGUAAUACGGAAGGUCCGGGCGUUAUCCGGAUUUAUUGGGUUUAAAGGGAGCGUAGGCCGGAGAUUAAGCGUGUUGUGAAAUGUAGACGCUCAACGUCUGCACUGCAGCGCGAACUGGUUUCCUUGAGUACGCACAAAGUGGGCGGAAUUCGUGGUGUAGCGGUGAAAUGCUUAGAUAUCACGAAGAACUCCGAUUGCGAAGGCAGCUCACUGGAGCGCAACUGACGCUGAAGCUCGAAAGUGCGGGUAUCGAACAGGAUUAGAUACCCUGGUAGUCCGCACGGUAAACGAUGGAUGCCCGCUGUUGGUCUGAAUAGGUCAGCGGCCAAGCGAAAGCAUUAAGCAUCCCACCUGGGGAGUACGCCGGCAACGGUGCAACUCAAAUGAAUUGACGGA